ensembl:lncRNA
GUAAGCUCAAGAUUUAUUGGGCACUUCAUCUGAUAUAAUGAUUUUGUGUUUUUCCACAUCUGUCUUCCCCAGGACGUUGGAGAUAGUAUGUGGCCAAGCAGUCAUCAGUUUCAGCAGCUCCUCUUGAUUGCCUGAGUCCCAGACUGGAGUGUCUUGUUGUUGAGCGGGAGUGAGUGGCCAUAUCUAUUCUGGGCAAGCUCCAAGAUAGCUCUAGCCGCUCUCAAAAAGUCCAAGCCAUCCAAAAGCAGAAAUGCCAAGUGGGCAUCCUUCAUUAUAAAGUUUCCUGCAUUAGUGUAAAGGUAUUCCUGUGUCAACCACCAUCUUCAUCUCUCAUCACCACCGGGAUCAAUAGGAUAAUGCAUAUAAGCCAGCCAGAUGUUUAGAGGCAGCCCACCACCCUGGGGUUGAUGUUAUUGGGAAUGUGGCUCACCAUCCUCUGAAACAUCAGGUUUCCACUUCAAGCAGAGGACCCAAUAGUCAUAAGCAAAAUCUCUCAGGCGUUGUUUUGGCUGCUGCACCAACAACCUCAAUUUGUCCUAACCCCAGGGAGGUAAUUCUUUGGUAAAAAAGCAGCCAUGAAUGCCAUGAAAGACCUCUUUUCAGCCUUCCACCAGCUCAGAGCAGGACCCACAAGCUUGGCCCUGGGCAGUGGUCUGAUUUCCAGGUAGUUUUCACACUGUUCGAUGAAUGUGAGCACAUCCACCAUCUCACACACAUCUCCAAAGGAGGAAAACUCCAAUCGGAUGGGAGACUUCGCACAGAAGCCAGGGAGCUAGGGGCAGUAAGAGAAGAAAAGGAAGUAGUUGGAGUGUAUGCUUGAAGGUGGGGCAGAGAAAGGGUAAUUGUGUAUUGCAGCUUUUUCAUCUGACUCCACAAUUUUGCUUUUCUCCUCAGGAAAAUAUCUGCAACAGCCUUCUCCAGCUUCUCCAGACUUUUCUGGAAGUAUUCUCCUAACUCUGCCAAGCUAGCAUCCACUGCCUGCUGGACACUGGCCUUCCGAUUUAAGUGAUGUGAAGGUCUCUACAGUCUCUUCAGUGGUUUGAUGACACGACUGACACUAUGAGCACCUACAAUAAUGAGGCUUGCCUUAGCAAACACCACUAAUUACUGUGUGCACUAGCUAAAGGCCAAAUCACACCACAGCAAAAUGACAGAUUUCAUACGAGCAAUCAUUUGUGGAUGGCGUAUAUUCUUCCUUUUAAACAUUAUGUGGGCU